rnacentral:rRNA from 1 species
UACAGGGGGUGCAAGCGUUGCUCGGAAUUAUUGGGCGUAAAGCGCGCGUAGGCGGCUACCUAAGUCGGAUGUGAAAGCCCCUGGCUCAACUGGGGAAGUGCACCCGAAACUGAGUAGCUAGAGUGCAAAAGAGGGUCGCGGAAUUCCCGGUGUAGAGGUGAAAUUCGUAGAUAUCGGGAGGAACACCGGUGGCGAAGGCGGCGACCUGGGUUGACACUGACGCUGAGGCGCGAAAGCGUGGGGAGCGAACAGG